UUCAGUCGUCAAGACCUACAGCUCAAACUUCUGGACGCCAUCUUCUAUGGAUAACAUAAACUUAAGUUUGGAACCUCUCUCGGCUACCUUCCCCGGAGCCUCAUGGCUUUGACCUUCAAAUAUGCAUCCUGGAGCUCAGUUUACGUUCAAAUGAGGGAGAAAAAAUGGCAUGGACAGGAAACAGUAAAGGAGAGGAGUGUGAACCUUUAGCUCCGUUUGCAGUCCAGUCUGAAAGGCUGCCAAUGUGAAGAGCCCUAGCUGUGAAUUCCCCACUGAGAUGGGCUUGGUCCAGAGGGAAUGCAAGCCAGUCUCCAGCCUGCGUUCCUACCUGAGAACAGCUGCAGCCUCCAUCUGCCAGCUCUUCAUGGUGGCUACCUGAGGGAAACACGCUCCACCCCUCCAUUUCAGAAGAGAGGCAGCAUUCUUUUGACAGAGGGGGAUUUCAGGGUUUAAUGACAUCAGUAGGACACUUUCCCUGGUUGCUGGUAAAUAUGUGUGCAAGUCUCUCCUUGUGAAACACACAUGGGCACAAGAAAGCACACACACACACAUAAGCAAGCACUUUUAAAAAAUCUAUUCUAGAACUUAUCUUGAUCAGGAUAAAGUCGUAAUUGGAAUAAGCAGAGCCUUUAUAUUCAGCCCAAUCUCUCC